rnacentral:rRNA from 1 species
CCUACGGGUGGCAGCAGUGGGGAAUAUUGCACAAUGGGGGAAACCCUGAUGCAGCGACGCCGCGUGAGUGAGGAAGUAUUUCGGUAUGUAAAGCUCUAUCAGCAGGGAAGAAAAUGACGGUACCUGACUAAGAAGCCCCGGCUAACUACGUGCCAGCAGCCGCGGUAAUACGUAGGGGGCAAGCGUUAUCCGGAUGUACUGAGUGGAAAGGGAGCGUAGACGGUUAAUCAAGUCAGAAGUGAAAACCCAGGGCUCAACCUUGGGACUGCUUUUGAAACUGAGUAGCUGGAGUGCAGGAGAGGUAAGCGGAAUUCCUGGUGUAGCGGUGAAAUGCGUAGAUAUUAGGAGGAACACCAGUGGCGAAGGCGGCUUACUGGACUGUAACUGACGUUGAGGCUCGAAAGCGUGGGGAGCAAACAGGAUUAGAUACCCGAGUAGUC